UCAGACGAUGCGUCAUGCAUAUCAAUAAGCGGAGGAAAAGAAACUAACAAGGAUUCCCCUAGUAACGGCGAGUGAAGCGGGAAGAGCUCAAAUUUGAAAUCUUAAAGGGUUUCCCUUUACGAAUUGUAGUUUAAAGAAGUGUUUUCUGUUGAGGUUUUGGUAAAAGUUCUUUGGAAUAGGACAUCAUAGAGGGUGAGAAUCCCGUAUUUGACCUUUACUUUCAACUUUGUGAUACACUUUCAAAGAGUCGGAUUGUUUGGGAAUGCAGUCCAAAAUGGGUGGUAAAUUUCAUCUAAAGCUAAAUAUUGGCGAGAGACCGAUAGCGAACAAGUACCGUGAGGGAAAGAUGAAAAGAACUUUGAAAAGAGAGUUAAACAGUACGUGAAAUUGUCAAAAGGGAAGCGUUUGACACCAGUGUUGUUUUUCUGAAAAUCAAUUAAAGAACUGUUUAUGCUAAGCUGUUUAGACUUUAUCAGCUAUCUGUUUAGUUUUGAGCUUUUCUUUAAUGCACUUUUCAGUUAACAAGUCAACAUCAAUUUCUUUUGCUGUAAAAAAGCUUGAGGAAGGUGGCUUGAGAUUCGUCUUAAGUGUUUAUAGCCUCUUGCCUAUGCAGUCGGAGAGAUUGAGGUCUGCAGCGUAGAUCCUUCGGGGCUAAAUGCAUUUGUGCUAAGUUAUAGCAUUUUAUAGACAACUUGUUGACUAUGAUCUGUCUUGUAGCUUACUCGCUUAUGUUAUUUUACCUACGCUUAGGAUGUUGACACACGCGCGUGCUCG
rnacentral:rRNA from 1 species